ACGCUAGCGAUAGGCUUAACACAUGCAAGUCGAGGGGCAGCAUGGUCUUAGCUUGCUAAGACUGAUGGCGACCGGCGCACGGGUGCGUAACGCGUAUGCAACUUGCCUCACAGAGGGGGAUAACCCGUCGAAAGACGGACUAAUACCGCGUACACUCCACUUUGGGCAUCCAAAGUAGAGGAAAUGAAAUUCGCUGUGGGAUAGGCAUGCGUCCCAUUAGCUAGUUGGUGAGGUAACGGCUCACCAAGGCGACGAUGGGUAGGGGAACUGAGAGGUUGAACCCCCCACUGGUACUGAGACACGGACCAGACUCCUACGGGAGGCAGCAGUGAGGAAUAUUGGUCAAUGGGCGAGAGCCUGAACCAGCCAAGUCGCGUGAAGGAUGACUGUCUUAUGGAUUGUAAACUUCUUUUAUACGGGAAUAACAAGAGCCACGUGUGGCUCCCUGCAUGUACCGUAUGAAUAAGCAUCGGCUAACUCCGUGCCAGCAGCCGCGGUAAUACGGAGGAUGCGAGCGUUAUCCGGAUUUAUUGGGUUUAAAGGGUGCGUAGGCGGCCUGUUAAGUCAGCGGUGAAAUCUAGGAGCUUAACUCCUAAAUUGCCAUUGAUACUGGCGGGCUUGAGUGUAGAUGAGGUAGGCGGAAUGCGUGGUGUAGCGGUGGAAUGCAUAGAUAUCACGCAGAACUCCGAUUGCGAAGGCAGCUUACUAAGGUACAACUGACGCUGAAGCACGAAAGCGUGGGUAUCAAACAGGAUUAGAUACCCUGGUAGUCCACGCAGUAAACGAUGAUAACUGGGCGUAUGCGAUAUACAGUAUGCUCCUAAGCGAAAGCGUUAAGUUAUCCACCUGGGGAGUACGCCGGCAACGGUGAAACUCAAAGGAAUUGACGGGGGCCCGCACAAGCGG
rnacentral:rRNA from 1 species